UACGUAGGGGGGCUAGCGUUGUCCGGAAUCAUUGGGCGUAAAGCGCACGUAGGCGGACUACUAAGUCAGGGGUGAAAUCCCGGGGCUCAACCCCGGAACUGCCUUUGAUACUGAGAGUCUCGAGUCCGGAAGAGGUGAGUGGAAUUCCGAGUGUAGAGGUGAAAUUCGUAGAUAUUCGGGAGGAAACACCCAGUGGGCGAAGG
rnacentral:rRNA from 1 species